AAAUUACUAUUAUAAAUACACAUCUGCCUAACAUUGUCCUUUUUUUUCUUCUGAAGAAAAAAAGUAACAUAGAUCAACUUAUAAUAAAAUAUAACUUUAUUAAAAUUAUUUUGUUUGUAACAGAGAAGACUUGACGCGCAUCAAUUUGCCUGAAUUAAAAAAAAAAAAAAGUCACAUCCAAACUGUAAAAAAUACACUCAAGCGACAGUACAUUUUUGACCAUUUGAUACAGAAAAAUAAAAUGUAAUAAAAUCAGUAAAUAAUAACAAAUUAAAAUUGAUUAGAAACAUUCACUCAUGAGGACAAUAUGCCAAAAAAUUUGACCGAAAAAACAAAACUGAAUAAAAGAAAAAAAGAGUGUCCUUGGACAGAAGGACAGUUUUUAUUUUUGCUGCUCACAGUAUUACCUCCUUUGCAAUAGUGUGGAGUUCUUUUGCAAUGAGCAUGCGAACAAUGCUCACUAGUUUACCGAUAUAACACUGACAAAGCAGGACGAUUGUUGGCAAUAUUCGGCACGUUUUCGCUGAAAAACAAUCAAGCGGUUUAUCAAUGAGAUUGGGGUCUAAUGUCUUUAAGUGGCGUCUUAAUUGAUUUGGCUUCUGGCUGUCCGCUAUAAUUAUUUUUAGACACAGUUUCCCCAUCACCCACUGUAUUAAAAGUCAAAGCUAAAGAGCAAACGGCACGAAAAAAGCGCAUUCUCGGCGGCCGAGGUAGAACCGUAGGUGAGGGCGGUCGUCGUGACGAUCCCAAGCCGAAAAUGGCACUUCUCGGGCGGCGACGUGAGAACCGGUGUUCGGCUAUUCCUUACUACGCGGUAGUGUUGUAUCGGUCGCGAACGAUUCGUUCUUUUUGAACGAAUUGUUUGGGUGAACGAGACCGAACUAAUCACCAUCUGCACUGAUUCGUUCUAUGAAGUUGGUAACUUGGUGGCGCUUGUUCGCUGCGUGGGAGGGCGUCGAGCAAGCGGCAGCGUCUUCUGACAUCGCACACGACCAAUCAGACGCCAGCCUCAUCGCGGGCAGGGGAGGGACCGGAAACAGAAUCAGGGCGUAUGUCACUCACUUCCACGUGUGGCCAAUAAGCAGCCAGCGUGCAGGCAGGAGGGAAAGACUGAGUUUUGUCACUUCCCGUUCAGUGAUUCGGUCCUCCGGUUCCUGACCUAGCUUGCUGCUAACUUGACUUUCCAGUAAUGACUAUGCGGUGAACGAGUCAUAAAAUGAAAGGAAAUUACUUUGUCACAUAUUUGUUAACGUGGAGCCUAUCAAAUGCUGCUCAAACAGACAAAAACACCACACAAAUCUAGCGAGCAUGGUUUAGUGUUCUACUUUUCUCAACAGACUCGGGACUGUACCUAUGACGAUAUACUAUCAAAUUUACAGUAAUUUAAAACACGCAUAGCUACGAGGCAAGCAAAAGCUGAGCUGCGGUCGCGUGACGGCAGUGAAGCGGGCAGAGAACUGCCAUGGAGGCUUCAUGGCAGCGAUAUUUACCUCAUAUGUGCACAGAAAAAAAAUAAUAUUUAGUAUGAUCACCAUAAUACGGAUUUGCAAUGAAACUGUAUACACAUGUCAAUUUUUUCCGAGUGUUUUUUUUUUUUUUUUUUUCGUGUCAGAGGGUGUCGGUUGGUUUGACAAAUUAUGUCAAUCCGUCCAUCAUGUGCUACUCAAGCGCCCAAAAACAAAGCGCGCGGACACGGGAGAUGUCGCAAUAUGUCUACAUUUUUUUUAACAGACUAAUGAGAGUAGAAAGGCGACAUCAUAAAGAGCAAACAAUUAUUUCUCGUCAGCGUUUGACGAUCUGAGAUGCGGGGACGACAGGGGAGCUGAUCGGAUUGUUUUAUUUAUUAAUACCAGUGCAAAAAUUCAAUACGAUCAUCUUAAUAAUAAAAAAUAAAAAUACAACAGAGCGAGAGAUAAAUAUGAUGUGUUGGUCGUUCCAUAUUUAGAAAUUAAACUUUCGAUUUAUUUUUAUUUUCGUGACAGCAAGCAUGCCGCGCUGGCUGGUGGGAGCAGCAUUGUAUAUGUGAGCAAGAUCAUGCUAAAGAAAGUCCGUGCGCCCCCGACCCCAAACCCCCACUUCCCCCUCAAAAGGAAAAUGUUUAACCGUGUCCUAAAUCGAAAUGCAAGCACGAGCCAUGACUUUGAGCCCAUAGAACUAGGACAGACGACGCGGAAGUUCUCCCUCGCUUUUGGAGCAGCGGGAGGGAGACGAGGCUGUCUGUGAAAGCAGAAUGAUAUCGCCUGUCACUCAUUUCUGAAACUACGACGAGUGGUCAAUGUGCAAGAGAGGGAGGGACCAAGCAAUGUCACUUCCCAUUCAGUUAUACUGCGAAGCGGUCUUUGGUGAUUCGUUCGGCAACGUCACUUCCCGUUCACUAACCGAACGAUUCAUUUGGGCGGGGAGGGAGAUGAGGGGGGCGAACGAUUCGUUGAACGAUUCGUUUGAACGAAUCUUUUUACUGAACGAACCGGAAUGGAUUCGUUUACUCAAGUGAACGACAGAUCCCGUCAUUACUACGCGGCGAAACGACCUACACAAUGCUCAGGGCGCUUGCGCAUGCAUCCACACGCAUGCGCACAUCGGUUAGAAGCGGCCAGUACUCAGUAUUUUUGUUUUUAUUUAGUUAUUUAGAACCUUUUCACUGCCUCAAAGAUACUUUUUGCAUGUAUUACCCUCUCAUACUUUUAACCAUUGUGGUUUUUUUGUGUUAGCUUUGAAGCAGUUGACCACAUUAGUCACGUAGCGUAUUUAAACCGUCCUUAUUUGAUAUAACUACAUUUAAGUAUUUUCUGCAGGCAUUUUUUUAGUACGUUAUUCCUGUAUGCAUCUAAACAAAACAAGUUUAGAGCGCACGGUAGUACUUCAGGUGUCAAAUUUGACUAAUGUAGGACGUUUCGCAGAUGUAGCAUAUUUUGGCAGAACACCGGACAAGACAGUGGGUCGCUGCGUGAGUGAGUCCGGUCGGAAACUGGCUUUCGAAAACGGCGGCAGUGUGCACUAUCCUAGUCCCCUCACUAUCCACUCGCGGGGGCCUGCGCUUGUCAGUGACGUUCCUUAUUCUCGCUAUAUGAAUAUACAACUUUAGUAUUUGUUAAUAAUACGCUCUGUGUGUAGUAUCAUCCAUCGAUUUUCCUUUAUAAAUGAGCACUUUUAAGCGAAAGCAAGAAGUAACAACGGGAACAUUUUUAAACAGGCAUUUCACGGGAGAGCAUUUCGACUCUUCGGCCAAUCACGGGAGAGCAUUUCGACUCUUCGGCCAAUCAUAUGAGAGGAGUCUGGCUGCAGCCCGCCUCUCUCAGUACCCUGCGCCGCUCUUCUCAGUACCAAUCCCGCAGACAGGAAAUGACGCAAUACCGCAGCUCUCAGUCCCCUCAGACCGGAAAUGUCGUCAACCCUUGCGACGAAAACAAGUUACCGUGUUUUCUUCGCGAGAGGUGAAAUAACCUCCAAGAUCACCACCCCAUUGGGAAGAAACUAAAUCACGACCCCCAAAAGGUAGUCUUCCCAUGCAGAUACAGGGAUGUCACACAGAUCCAGAUGGAAACAUCGAACACUGCAAAACCCACUGUGCAGACAGGACCAAUGGUGACAAUAUAAGACCAUGCCGAGCUUCAUGGACGGUUCAAACUCAUCCUGCCCAGGAACGGCUGGUAUGUUUUUAUGUCUGAGACAAAUGUUGUGCUCAGUGGAAAUCUGGAUAGGCUUAUUAGUCCUUAUAUUAGUUAACAAUUGGACAUAAUUGAUUAUUUACUCUUUGUUUAUUUAACCAAUCAACAUUCUCAUUAGCUUAUGCAAAUCUUGAAUAUAAAGAGGCCAGAAAUGGUGUUGAUUGUCUAAAAAAAGAAAGUUUGAUUGACACGUGCUGACUUUUGGAACGUUGGCCUGAACAAUGAAAUGGAAUCAACUGUGAAUUUUGAGGAUUUAGUUUCUCUAAAGAACAUAAUGUCACUUGUACAAUUAAGUAAAAUGUAACUUUUUGUGUUUGUUUUUUUGCAGAUAUGAAAUGCAUAUUUAUAACUUGUCUAACAAGUAGCUCAUUCAAAGGUAUAAAAAAGUAUUUUUUUGGCGUGUGUAGGGUAUUAUUUUAACUAUGUAGCCUACAGAAUGCUUGUAUGGGCUCAUGUAGGUGUCUGCGUACGUUUGUAUUUAUAUAACAUAUGUCCGUGUGUAUAGAUUAUGUAUUUUUCAGGGAAGGACCAUAUUUGUGGCUGACCCCUAUGUUGUUGCAACAUGGUGAAAGCCUACAGGAUGUGACCCACACAUGCAUUUGCCUGUAAGGCUGAUUAGUAACAACUACAACUUGGAGCAUUGGUUCAUUUUCAAAGAACAGUCAAAUCAUAACAAAUUAAAUGAUCCAAAUUCCAAUUAUUUGUGGGAAGAAAAACAGAUCCAAUCAUGAGAUCAGAGAACUAUUGUUAUCUCUAAUGAAAUUCAGUAUCCAUUCAUAUUGGCAUGGCGUUUCCAUGAUGAUCCAGAAUAUCAAUGCAGUAGGAGUUCCCAAGCAUCCUGCAGAUGGAAGAGGAUGAGCACGAACUACAAUGUCUUGGAGCCAUUCAAGUUCUGUUUCAACCAUCUGGAAGAUUGAUUUACCUUUUUUGAGGACAUUGUUGACUAAAGAAAAUAUCUGGUAUUCUCUCAAUAAUAAUAAAAAAUAAUAAAACUAAAAAAAUAAAGUUUACCACAUUAGAACUGGUUGUCUUGAGUUC